rnacentral:tRNA from 1 species
GCCUGGGUGGCUCAGUCAGUUGAGCAUCUGACUUCUGCUCAGGUCAUGAUAUCACGGUUUGUGGGCUUGAGCCCCACAUGGGGCU